ensembl:ncRNA C34H3.18 ncRNA
CACGGCAGCACAGGGCCUACCGUAGUCAGUCAACCAGCGCCCGCCGAGAGAGCAGCAGCAAAGACAGUGGGCGUGUCGGAGGAGAAGACGAGCUGAACACGAGGUGGUGGCCGCCUCCGUCUGCUUCUGGGAAGC